GGCGCCGUAGUUUAGUGGUUAGAGCGUUAAGGUCCUAUAUUAAAUAACCGUACGGUAUCUUUAAAUUAUAUUUAAUAGUAUACUCCCCGGAUUAUCUUUAAUAGCUAUCUUUAAAAGUCGUAGGUUCGAAUCCCAUCGGCGCUA